CAGCCGCCACGGUAAUACGAGGGGGGCUAGCGUUGCUCGGAAUUACUGGGCGUAAAGGGAGCGUAGGCGGACUGUUAAGUUAGAGGUGAAAGCCCAGGGCUCAACCUUGGAAUUGCCUUUGAUACUGGCAGUCUUGAGUAUGGAAGAGGUAUGUGGAACUCCGAGUGUAGAGGUGAAAUUCGUAGAUAUUCGGAAGAACACCAGUGGCGAAGGCGACAUACUGGUCCAUUACUGACGCUGAGGCUCGAAAGCGUGGGGAGCAAACAGGAUUAGAUACCCCGGUAGUCCCUGUCUCUUAUAC
rnacentral:rRNA from 1 species